rnacentral:tRNA from 1 species
GAGGUUAUAGCUCAGUGGUAGAGUGCCUGCUUAGCAUGCACAAGGUCCUGGGUUCAAUCCCGAGUACCUCCA